ensembl:lncRNA novel transcript
AGGUCCAGGACUACCCACUUCCCUUGGAAUGGUGUUGCCAUCACUGUUCUGGCACCGGAGAAAGGAUUCUACAUCGUUAGGAGAAAAGAAAAAGGAGAAUUUGGGCUUGCACUGAGAGGAUUACCUUUGGUGGUCUGGAAGUGGUG